GGUCCCAGUGAUGCUCAUAUAAACCAUGCUAAUGCUGUAAUUAUUUGAUGAUUAUCUGACGACUAUGUUCUUUUCUGAGGCAACU